rnacentral:rRNA from 1 species
GAGUUUGAUCGUGGCUCAGGACGAACGCUGGCGGUGUGCUUCACACAUGCAAGUCGAACGGGGUAGCAAUACCCAGUGGCGGACGGGUGAGUAACACGUGGGAAUCUACCAUAAGGUGGGGAAUAACAGGCCGAAAGGUCUGCUAAUGCCGCAUAUGUAGGCAUCUCGACAGAGGUGUUUAAUGAAAGGAGUAAUCCGCCUUUUGAUGAGUCCCGCGUCCGAUUAGCUAGUUGGUAGGGUAAAAGCCUACCAAGGCGACGAUCGGUAGGUGGUCUGAGAGGAUGAUCACCCACAAUGGGACUGAGACACGGCCCAUACUCCUACGGGAGGCAG